rnacentral:rRNA from 1 species
AUUGAACGCUGGCGGAAUGCUUUACACAUGCAAGUCGAACGGUAGAGGGGGCAACCCCUCGAGAGUGGCGAACGGGUGAGUAAUAUAUCGGAACGUGCCCAGUCGUGGGGGAUAACGUAGCGAAAGUUACGCUAAUACCGCAUACGAUCUAAGGAUGAAAGCGGGUGAUCGCAAGACCUCGCGCGAUUGGAGCGGCCGAUAUCAGAUUAGGUAGUUGGUGGGGUAAAGGCUCACCAAGCCAACGAUCUGUAGCUGGUCUGAGAGGACGACCAGCCACACUGGAACGGAGACACGGUCCAGACUCCUACGGGAGGCAGCAGUGGGGAAUUUCGGACAAUGGACGCAAGUCUGAUCCAGCCAUUCCGCGUGCAGGAUGAAGGCCCUCGGGUUGUAAACUGCUUUUGUACGGAACGAAAAGGUCUCUCUUAAUACGGGGGGCUCAUGACGGUACCGUAAGAAUAAGCACCGGCUAACUACGUGCCAGCCGCCGCCGUAA